CAUAUCAAUAAGCGGAGGAAAAGAAACUAACAAGGAUUCCCCUAGUAACUGCGAGUGAAGCGGGAAAAGCUCAAAUUUAAAAUCUGGCAGCCUCUGGCUGUCCGAGUUGUAAUCUAGAGAAGCGUUAUCCGCGCUGGACCGUGUACAAGUCUCCUGGAAUGGAGCGUCAUAGAGGGUGAGAAUCCCGUCUUUGACACGGACUGCCAGGGCUUUGUGAUGCGCUCUCAAAGAGUCGAGUUGUUUGGGAAUGCAGCUCAAAAUGGGUGGUAAAUUCCAUCUAAAGCUAAAUAUUGGCGAGAGACCGAUAGCGAACAAGUACCGUGAGGGAAAGAUGAAAAGAACUUUGGAAAGAGAGUUAAACAGUACGUGAAAUUGCUGAAAGGGAAACGCUUGAAGUCAGUCGCGUUGGCCGGGGAUCAACCUUGCUUUUGCUUGGUGUACUUUCUGGUUGACGGGUCAGCAUCAAUUUUGAUCAUUGGAAAAAGAUUAGGGGAAUGUGGCAUCUUCGGAUGUGUUAUAGCCCUUGGUUGUAUACAAUGAUUGGGAUUGAGGAACUCAGCACGCCGCAAGGCCGGGUUUUUAACCACGUACGUGCUUAGGAUGCUGGCAUAAUGGCUUUAAUCGACCCGUCUUGAAACACGGACCAAGGAGUCUAACAUGCCUGCGAGUGUUUGGGUGGAAAACCCGAGCGCGUAAUGAAAGUGAAAGUUGAGAUCCCUGUCGUGGGGAGCAUCGACGCCCGGACCAGAUCUUUUGUGACGGUUCCGCGGUAGAGCAUGUAUGUUGGGACCCGAAAGAUGGUGAACUAUGCCUGAAUAGGGUGAAGCCAGAGGAAACUCUGGUGGAGGCUCGUAGCGAUUCUGACGUGCAAAUCGAUCGUCAAAUUUGGGUAUAGGGGCGAAAGACUAAUCGAACCAUCUAGUAGCUGG
rnacentral:rRNA from 1 species